AUUGAACGCUGGCGGCAGGCUUAACACAUGCAAGUCGAGCGGAGAUGAGGUGCUUGCACCUUAUCUUAGCGGCGGACGGGUGAGUAAUGCUUAGGAAUCUGCCUAUUAGUGGGGGACGACAUUCCGAAAGGAAUGCUAAUACCGCAUACGCCCUACGGGGGAAAGCAGGGGAUCUUCGGACCUUGCGCUAAUAGAUGAGCCUAAGUCGGAUUAGCUAGUGGGUGGGGUAAAGGCCUACAAAGGCGACGAUCUGUAGCGGGUCUGAGAGGAUGAUCCGCCACACUGGGACUGUGACACGGCCCAGACUCCUACGGGAGGCAGCAGUGGGGAAUAUUGGACAAUGGGCGGAAGCCUGAUCCAGCCAUGCCGCGUGUGUGAAGAAGGCCUUUUGGUUGUAAAGCACUUUAAGCGAGGAGGAGGCUACCUGGAUUAAUACUCUAGGAUAGUGGACGUUACUCGCAGAAUAAGCACCGGCUAACUCUGUGCCAGCCGCCGCCGUAAUAC
rnacentral:rRNA from 1 species